ensembl:lncRNA
AAGAAAUGUUAUUUUUUCCAGGAUGAAAGCAAAACAAGAUCUCUCCCUGUUUACCCCGUCUCACCCAUUUCUAAAGAAGAGGGAGAAAUUUGGCAGAUUGGUAUUCUGUCUUUGCUCUCCAGAAGAUUUGAGCUGAAGGUUGCUGAAUAGUGAGAGAGAAAAUUUUUUGCCCCUUAGUGUUUUGUUUUCACCCUGUCUGUGUAGGGCAUUGACUACAUGGCUCUUUCCCACAGUCAGAUUAUUAAGUUCCCUGAUGGACAGCCCUGAUUGACUUCAGAUUUCUUAACGCUGUCACCAGUGACUCCUAAACAUCACCACUAAAGGAUCUCUUUAUCAGCCCAAUCCCACAGGCUUCUGAAGGAGGAAGUCAUACCAGCAACGGGAAAGAACCCUAACACAUGGAGAGGGAAGUGAUGAAAUUAAAAAAAAAAAUUCAGCUGUUGGUGAGUUCACAUCAAUAAAAAGCUAUGGAAGACUUGGGCAAUAUUUUACAUGGCACUUUUUGUGUGUAGGCUUUCCAUAUAUCUUGGUG